UGCCUGUUGGUCCUCUUCUCUGCUCUCUCUCAAGCUCUAUGACACUUGAUACUUGUUGAGCAUUCUUGCUGGACGCACCUUCCGGGACCAUGGUGUCAUCCCACACUAGUUUGGCCGGCGAAGCAGCUCUGCCUGCUCUGUCGCUCACUCCAACGCCUCCCGCGCUGCCCCUCCGGUGGCCGCUUCCUCUUUGGUCCUGGCAUAGAUAGCAGGAGGGAUGUACGACUGUUAGGCCCGAAGAGCACGGUGACAUUGCUCAUCGUUGACAGUGAGCGGCUCAGCCCUCGUCAUGCAAAUAGCCAACGCCAUCAUCAUUAGCG